GCAAACUUGGUCAUUUAGAGGAAGUAAAAGUCGUAACAAGGUCUCCGUUGGUGAACCAGCGGAGGGAUCAUUACCGAGUUUACAACUCCCAAACCCAAUGUGAACCAUACCAAUCUGUUGCCUCGGCGGGGUCACGCCCCGGGCGCGUCGCAGCCCCGGAACCAGGCGCCCGCCGGAGGGACCAACCAAACUCUUUUUUCUGAAGUCCCCUCGCGGACGUUAUUUCUCACAGCUCUGAGCAAAAACAAAAAAAUGAAUCAAAACUUUCAACAACGGAUCUCUUGGUUCUGGCAUCGAUGAAGAACGCAGC
rnacentral:misc_RNA from 1 species